rnacentral:lncRNA from 1 species
GAGAAUCAAGAAUCCCGGUAAAAGAGGAUUUUAAAUUGGGUUGUUGCCAUCGUCAUCUAAUACCCUAAUAUUUCAACUAAUACACCAUAUAUAAAUAAAUAAAGCACUAACUCCUCCUACACUUCAAUGGGAAGUCCAAUAUCCUCUCUUUCAGUUUUACCCUAAAAACUCUUCUCAGGCAAAAUUAAAGCAGUCCCUCAUUUUUUAAUAACUUUUCAUGAUUUCAAAGAGUACAUCACAUGUGGCUAAUCUUCUGUUCUAGGUUUAUAUUUUCGCAGUCAAUUAUUUAAAUGGCUUAUUGUUCUGAACUCAAAACGAUUUCAUACUUUUGGAUUUUUCUUUUCAUAUGCUAACUUUCUUUGGUUAUUCAUCCUUUUCUAUUUUGUUUGUUUGUCAACUGUAGAUGUGGCUUUUGGAGAUGGUGAUGAUGACAAUAAGAGCUCCAUAAUACGUCGAUUAAUUAAUCGGGAUCUUGUAAGACACAACAAUUUCUAUUGACAAGGGAACUAUGGAGAUAACAAGACAUGCUUUGAUGAAUCUCUACAGUUGUUUUCAUCUGCUUUUGGGAUCUCUUUCUUCGUUUAGUUUUUUUUUUCUGCUAUGAUUUUAGUCUUUUUUGUUAAUAUUUAUGAUGAUUAAUCUAUUGUAUUAUGUUGUAAGUUUCUAUGUAUGUCGAUUAUAUAUUUCUGAAAACUUUCAUAAUAAUAAAAAAUAGCUAAAAUGUUGUGAA